rnacentral:rRNA from 1 species
UGUAUGAAGCUGGAAUCGCUAGUAAUCGCAGAUCAGAAUGCUGCGGUGAAUACGUUCCCGGGUCUUGUACACACCGCCCGUCACACCAUGGGAGCCAGGAAUGCCCGAAGCCAGUGGCCUAACCGCAAGGGAGGAGCUGUCGAAGGCAGGCCCGGUAACUGGGGGUGAAGUCGUAACAAGGUAGC